CGGGGGAUAACACCUGGAAACAGAUGCUAAUACCGCAUAACAACUUGGACCGCAUGGUCCGAGCUUGAAAGAUGGCUUCGGCUAUCACUUUUGGAUGGUCCCGCGGCGUAUUAGCUAGAUGGUGGGGUAACGGCUCACCAUGGCAAUGAUACGUAGCCGACCUGAGAGGGUAAUCGGCCACAUUGGGACUGAGACACGGCCCAAACUCCUACGGGAGGCAGCAGUAGGGAAUCUUCCACAAUGGACGAAAGUCUGAUGGAGCAACGCCGCGUGAGUGAAGAAGGGUUUCGGCUCGUAAAACUCUGUUGUUAAAGAAGAACAUAUCUGAGAGUAACUGUUCAGGUAUUGACGGUAUUUAACCAGAAAGCCACGGCUAACUACGUGCCAGCAGCCGCGGUAAUACGUAGGUGGCAAGCGUUGUCCGGAUUUAUUGGGCGUAAAGCGAGCGCAGGCGGUUUUUUAAGUCUGAUGUGAAAGCCUUCGGCUCAACCGAAGAAGUGCAUCGGAAACUGGGAAACUUGAGUGCAGAAGAGGACAGUGGAACUCCAUGUGUAGCGGUGAAAUGCGUAGAUAUAUGGAAGAACACCAGUGGCGAAGGCGGCUGUCUGGUCUGUAACUGACGCUGAGGCUCGAAAGUAUGGGUAGCAAACAGGAUUAGAUACCCUGGUAGUCCAUACCGUAAACGAUGAAUGCUAAGUGUUGGAGGGUUUCCGCCCUUCAGUGCUGCAGCUAACGCAUUAAGCAUUCCGCCUGGGGAGUACGGCCGCAAGGCUGAAACUCAAAGGAAUUGACGGGGGCCCGCACAAGCGGUGGAGCAUGUGGUUUAAUUCGAAGCUACGCGAAGAACCUUACCAGGUCUUGACAUACUAUGCAAAUCUAAGAGAUUAGACGUUCCCUUCGGGGACAUGGAUACAGGUGGUGCAUGGUUGUCGUCAGCUCGUGUCGUGAGAUGUUGGGUUAAGUCCCGCAACGAGCGCAACCCUUAUUAUCAGUUGCCAGCAUUAAGUUGGGCACUCUGGUGAGACUGCCGGUGACAAACCGGAGGAAGGUGGGGAUGACGUCAAAUCAUCAUGCCCCUUAUGACCUGGGCUACACACGUGCUACAAUGGAUGGUACAACGAGUUGCGAACUCGCGAGAGUAAGCUAAUCUCUUAAAGCCAUUCUCAGUUCGGAUUGUAGGCUGCAACUCGCCUACAUGAAGUCGGAAUCGCUAGUAAUCGCGGAUCAGCAUGCCGCGGUGAAUACGUUCCCGGGCCUUGUACACACCGCCCGC
rnacentral:rRNA from 1 species